GACAGAGAGAGAACACGCACCGUGACGCCAUCCUUGCAGUACUAACCAGAAGAGUGUGGCAACGCCCUCACAACAACGUCACCUUCCGAAGCGGAUAUGUUGUCCUUGACUUUGUUUAUCUUUCCCAGGCCUUUGAGGGAAACUGCUCUCGUAUUUACUGCCGUACUGCCGGAGGACAUCUUUCACGCCCUGCAUACACCACCAGAAUUCAAUUGGCUAAAUAUUAUCGUGAGGCCUCUUUCGUUACUGCUAUUUGUUGCUGUGGUGUCUCCGGUGGGCGGCCAGAGUGUAGCAACUGUUACCUUACACGCUAAACCAUCCGUGGAACUAGUUUAGCCUGGGUCCUGUAAGACUUGGUAACUCAUCCUCACGUAAGUUGAGGAUGGGUGCCACGAUGAGAGGUGCCAGAGGAUAGGUGCCACUUACCCUGGGUGGUGGUGUGGACGUGCUGUGUAUCACGGCCGGUGACAGCAGCAGCAGCGGCAGCAGCAGCAGCAGGAGGAGGAGGGGCAGGCCGGACCACAACGCUACAUGGACUCCUGCUGGUGCUGUGGCUGGCCGCACCUCGCCUAUUGAGCUGCAUCCUCCCGCUCACCCCACGCUGUGAACGUCGCCACGAAAGAGAGAAAAAAACAAACUGUUAUUUACUGUUUCAUAUUAAAUUAUAUUUGGUUAAAUAUUUGCUAUGUUAAAGACGCUAACAGGCCAGCUGUUGAUCACAUGUAAACAUCACCUUUGUUUUGCUCUCAGUAAUAUUGUUGUUUAUAUCCUGGUUUUAAUUUCAAGCAAGAAGCUUAGCCUCUCUUUGAGUACCUUAGGUUUUAUUGGAGAGAAAUCACACAAGCGUAAAAUUGGUAUAUAAUUUGUCUGGAGCGUACAACUCCCAAUAACCCGGCGGGCAACAAGUAAUUUUUAUUUAUUAUUAUUAUUAUUAUUUUCUACCACAGACUUGUCCACACAUUUGCAAUGCUAACCAUAUAUACAUUUUCUUCUGUCUUCCAUGGACAGGGUGAGAGAUCUGUUAAACAUAUAGUUCAGGGAUUAAUUGAACAAUCAACUAUAUAAGGUGAUUGUGAUGUUUUUAAAAUGCUAAUCUAACCUACAUACAUAAAUACACAGAUUUAAGUCUGUCCUACAGUGUUCAAUGUGUCUUUUUACAUAGCGUCAUUAAUGAGUGUUUACAAAGGCGAAAUGCAAUUCUGACCAGCUUACACAUAUACAUAUAUGCACAUAUACAUAUAUGCACAUAUACAUUUCCACAUACAUAUACAUACACCUAUGUCUCUUACUUUGACAAGGUAAGAUAGCUUCUAUAGAAACUAGUGUGUUUUUAAACAAUUAACCACUGAGGGUGACUGA